rnacentral:rRNA from 1 species
CCUACGGGGGGCUGCAGUGGGGAAUAUUGCACAAUGGGCGCAAGCCUGAUGCAGCCACGCCGCGUGUGUGAAGAAGGCCUUCGGGUUGUAAAGCACUUUCAGCGGGGAGGAAGGCGUUAAGGUUAAUAACCUUGUCGAUUGACGUUACCCGCAGAAGAAGCACCGGCUAACUCCGUGCCAGCAGCCGCGGUAAUACGGAGGGUGCAAGCGUUAAUCGGAAUUACUGGGCGUAAAGCGCACGCAGGCGGUCUGUCAAGUCGGAUGUGAAAUCCCCGGGCUCAACCUGGGAACUGCAUUCGAAACUGGCAGGCUAGAGUCUUGUAGAGGGGGGUAGAAUUCCAGGUGUAGCGGUGAAAUGCGUAGAGAUCUGGAGGAAUACCGGUGGCGAAGGCGGCCCCCUGGACAAAGACUGACGCUCAGGUGCGAAAGCGUGGGGAGCAAACAGGAUUAGAUACCCGUGUAGUC